GACGAACGCUGGCGGCGUGCUUAACACAUGCAAGUCGAACGAUGAAGCCCAGCUUGCUGGGUGGAAGAGUGGCGAACGGGUGAGUAACACGUGAGUAACCUGCCCAUCACUCUGGGAUAAGCGCUGGAAACGGCGUCUAAUACUGGAUAUGAACAGCGACCGCAUGGUCAGUUGUUGGAAAGAUUUAUUGGUGAUGGAUGGACUCGCGGCCUAUCAGCUAGUUGGUGAGGUAAUGGCUCACCAAGGCGACGACGGGUAGCCGGCCUGAGAGGGUGACCGGCCACACUGGGACUGAGACACGGCCCAGACUCCUACGGGUGGCAG
rnacentral:rRNA from 1 species